CAAAAGCCCACAUUGUCGUCUCCAGCUGCGGUCUCUGCGUCAACUUCGUGUGCUUCAUGUUGCCUGGAAACAUGGUAGAUGCAGUAUCUCUCUGGCAGUCCUUUAUGGGGUACAGAAAAUGCUAGCAAAGGUUGAAUAUGGUGGUGUUCAAAAAUACAUCAAAGUUCCACAAAGUGGUGAAAACUUUGAUUUCCACCUGUUUCUUC